rnacentral:rRNA from 1 species
CCUACGGGCGGCAGCAGUGAGGAAUAUUGGUCAAUGGACGAGAGUCUGAACCAGCCAAGUAGCGUGAAGGAUGACUGCCCUAUGGGUUGUAAACUUCUUUUAUAUGGGAAUAAAAUGUUCCACGUGUGGGAUUUUGUAUGUACCAUAUGAAUAAGGAUCGGCUAACUCCGUGCCAGCAGCCGCGGUAAUACGGAGGAUCCGAGCGUUAUCCGGAUUUAUUGGGUUUAAAGGGAGCGUAGGUGGAUUGUUAAGUCAGUUGUGAAAGUUUGCGGCUCAACCGUAAAAUUGCAGUUGAAACUGGCAGUCUUGAGUACAGUAAAGGAGGGCGGAAUUCGUGGUGUAGCGGUGAAAUGCUUAGAUAUCACGAAGAACUCCGAUUGCGAAGGCAGUUCACUGGACUGCAACUGACACUGAGGCUCGAAAGUGUGGGUAUCAAACAGGAUUAGAUACCCGUGUAGUC